rnacentral:rRNA from 1 species
GACGAACGCUGGCGGCGUGCUUAACACAUGCAAGUCGAACGGAAAGGCCCUGCUUUUGUGGGGUGCUCGAGUGGCGAACGGGUGAGUAACACGUGAGUAACCUGCCCUUGACUUUGGGAUAACUUCAGGAAACUGGGGCUAAUACCGGAUAGGAGCUCCUGCUGCAUGUUGGGGGUUGGAAAGUUUCGGCGGUUGGGGAUGGACUCGCGGCUUAUCAGCUUGUUGGUGGGGUAGUGGCGUACCAAGGCUUUGACGGGUAGCCGGCCUGAGAGGGUGACCGGCCACAUUGGGACUGAGAUACGGCCCAGACUCCUACGGGAGGCAGCAGUGGGGAAUAUUGCACAAUGGGCGGAAGCCUGAUGCAGCAACGCCGCGUGCGGGAUGACGGCCUUCGGGUUGUAAACCGCUUUCGCCUGUGACGAAGCGUGAGUGACGGUAAUGGGUAAAGAAGCACCGGCUAACUACGUG